CAGUCAUACCAACGGGAAAUCAACCUCUUGAGUUUGGUCUUGUGGUUUCGAAGAGUUUAAAAGCCUUCGGAUUUGCGAGGAUUGGGCUCUUCUGGUGUACUUUCUCGUACGGUUAGUCAACAUCGGUUUUGAAUGUCAUAAAAUGACUGGAGGAAUGUGGCUUCGAUUUCGUAUUGAAGUGUUAUAGCCUUUGGUAGAUGUGAUGUUCGAGAUCGAGGACUGCAGCACGCCUUUGGGUAGGGUUCGCCCACUCCACGUGCUUAGGAUGCUGGCGUAAUGGCUUUAAACGACCCGUCUUGAGACACGGACCAAGGAGUCUAACAUAUAUGCGAGUGUUU
rnacentral:rRNA from 1 species